rnacentral:rRNA from 1 species
UCAUCUCCGGGGGUAGAGCACUGUUUCGGCAAGGGGGUCAUCCCGACUUACCAACCCGAUGCAAACUGCGAAUACCGGAGAAUGUUAUCACGGGAGACACACGGCGGGUGCUAACGUCCGUCGUGAAGAGGGAAACAACCCAGACCGCCAGCUAAGGUCCCAAAGUCAUGGUUAAGUGGGAAACGAUGUGGGAAGGCCCAGACAGCCAGGAUGUUGGCUUAGAAGCAGCCAUCAUUUAAAGAAAGCGUAAUAGCUCACUGGUCGAGUCGGCCUGCGCGGAAGAUGUAACGGGGCUAAACCAUGCACCGAAGCUGCGGCAGCGACNNNNNNNNNNNNNNNNNNNNNNNNNNNNNNNNNNNNNNNNNNNNNAUGCUGGAGGUAUCAGAAGUGCGAAUGCUGACAUAAGUAACGAUAAAGCGGGUGAAAAGCCCGCUCGCCGGAAGACCAAGGGUUCCUGUCCAACGUUAAUCGGGGCAGGGUGAGUCGACCCCUAAGGCGAGGCCGAAAGGCGUAGUCGAUGGGAAACAGGUUAAUAUUCCUGUACUUGGUGUUACUGCGAAGGGGGGACGGAGAAGGCUAUGUUGGCCGGGCGACGGUUGUCCCGGUUUAAGCGUGUAGGCUGGUUUUCCAGGCAAAUCCGGAAAAUCAAGGCUGAGGCGUGAUGACGAGGCACUACGGUGCUGAAGCAACAAAUGCCCUGCUUCCAGGAAAAGCCUCUAAGCAUCAGGUAACAUCAAAUCGUACCCCAAACCGACACAGGUGGUCAGGUAGAGAAUACCAAGGCGCUUGAGAGAACUCGGGUGAAGGAACUAGGCAAAAUGGUGCCGUAACUUCGGGAGAAGGCACGCUGAUAUGUAGGUGAGGUCCCUCGCGGAUGGAGCUGAAAUCAGUCGAAGAUACCAGCUGGCUGCAACUGUUUAUUAAAAACACAGCACUGUGCAAACACGAAAGUGGACGUAUACGGUGUGACGCCUGCCCGGUGCCGGAAGGUUAAUUGAUGGGGUUAGCGGUAACGCGAAGCUCUUGAUCGAAGCCCCGGUAAACGGCGGCCGUAACUAUAACGGUCCUAAGGUAGCGAAAUUCCUUGUCGGGUAAGUUCCGACCUGCACGAAUGGCGUAAUGAUGGCCAGGCUGUCUCCACCCGAGACUCAGUGAAAUUGAACUCGCUGUGAAGAUGCAGUGUACCCGCGGCAAGACGGAAAGACCCCGUGAACCUUUACUAUAGCUUGACACUGAACAUUGAGCCUUGAUGUGUAGGAUAGGUGGGAGGCUUUGAAGUGUGGACGCCAGUCUGCAUGGAGCCGACCUUGAAAUACCACCCUUUAAUGUUUGAUGUUCUAACGUUGACCCGUAAUCCGGGUUGCGGACAGUGUCUGGUGGGUAGUUUGACUGGGGCGGUCUCCUCCUAAAGAGUAACGGAGGAGCACGAAGGUUGGCUAAUCCUGGUCGGACAUCAGGAGGUUAGUGCAAUGGCAUAAGCCAGCUUGACUGCGAGCGUGACGGCGCGAGCAGGUGCGAAAGCAGGUCAUAGUGAUCCGGUGGUUCUGAAUGGAAGGGCCAUCGCUCAACGGAUAAAAGGUACUCCGGGGAUAACAGGCUGAUACCGCCCAAGAGUUCAUAUCGACGGCGGUGUUUGGCACCUCGAUGUCGGCUCAUCACAUCCUGGGGCUGAAGUAGGUCCCAAGGGUAUGGCUGUUCGCCAUUUAAAGUGGUACGCGAGCUGGGUUUAGAACGUCGUGAGACAGUUCGGUCCCUAUCUGCCGUGGGCGCUGGAGAACUGAGGGGGGCUGCUCCUAGUACGAGAGGACCGGAGUGGA